AGUGAACGCUGGCGGUAGGCCUAACACAUGCAAGUCGAACGGCAGCACAGUAAGAGCUUGCCCUUACGGGUGGCGAGUGGCGGACGGGUGAGGAAUACAUCGGAAUCUACUUUUUCGUGGGGGAUAACGUAGGGAAACUUACGCUAAUACCGCAUACGACCUACGGGUGAAAGCAGGGGAUCUUCGGACCUUGCGCGAUUGAAUGAGCCGAUGUCGGAUUAGCUAGUUGGCGGGGUAAAGGCCCACCAAGGCGACGAUCCGUAGCUGGUCUGAGAUGAUGAUCAGCCACACUGGAACUGAGACACGGUCCAGACUCCUACGGGAGGCAGCAGUGGGGAAUAUUGGACAAUGGGCGCAAGCCUGAUCCAGCCAUACCGCGUGGGUGAAGAAGGCCUUCGGGUUGUAAAGCCCUUUUGUUGGGAAAGAAAAGCAGCAGGUUAAUACCCCGCUGUUCUGACGGUACCCAAAGAAUAAGCACCGGCUAACUUCGU
rnacentral:rRNA from 1 species